AGGACUAACGCUGGCGGCGUGCCUAACACAUGCAAGUCGAACGAGGUAGCAAUACCUAGUGGCAGACGGGUGAGUAACGCGUGGUCAACCUACCUCUUAGUGGGGGAUAACUAGCCGAAAGGUUAGCUAAUACCGCAUACGAUCGUCGCGAGGCAUCUCGUGACGAUGAAAGGAGCAAUUCGCUAAGAGAGGGGACUGCGUCCCAUUAGUUAGUUGGUGGGGUAAUGGCCUACCAAGACUCCGAUGGGUAGCUGGCUUGAGAGAGCGACCAGCCACACUGGAACUGAGACACGGUCCAGACUCCUACGGGAGGCAGCAGUGAGGAAUUUUCCGCAAUGGGCGCAAGCCUGACGGAGCGACGCCGCGUGUGGGAAGAAGGCCUUCGGGUCGUAACCACUGUCGAAGGGGACGAUAUUGACGGUACCCUUGGAGGAGCCCCGGCUACUACGCGCCAGCAGCCGC
rnacentral:rRNA from 1 species